rnacentral:rRNA from 1 species
AAAGUUGCUCAGUCGACGAUUCCUACGGGAGGCAGCAGUGGGGAAUAUUGGACAAUGGGGGCAACCCUGAUCCAGCAAUGCCGCGUGUGUGAAGAAGGCCUGCGGGUUGUAAAGCACUUUCAGUAGAGAAGAAAAGCUUUCGGUUAAUACCCGGGAGUCUUGACGUAACCUACAGAAGAAGCACCGGCUAACUCCGUGCCAGCAGCCGCGGUAAUACGGAGGGUGCGAGCGUUAAUCGGAAUUACUGGGCGUAAAGCGCGCGUAGGCGGCGAGGUCAGUCGAAUGUGAAAGCCCUGGGCUUAACCUGGGAAUUGCACUCGAUACUGCCUGGCUAGAGUAUGGGAGAGGGAAGUGGAAUUUCCGGUGUAGCGGUGAAAUGCGUAGAUAUCGGAAGGAACACCAGUGGCGAAGGCGACUUCCUGGCCCAAUACUGACGCUGAGGUGCGAAAGCGUGGGUAGCGAACAGGAUUAGAUACCCUGGUAGUCCACGCCGUAAACGAUGAGAACUAGAUGUCGGGAGGAUUUACCUUUCGGUGUCGCAGCUAACGCGUUAAGUUCUCCGCCUGGGGAGUACGCCGGCAACGGUAAAACUCAAAGGAAUUGACGG